AUUGAACGCUGGCGGCAUGCCUUACACAUGCAAGUCGAACGGCAGCACGGGAGCAAUCCUGGUGGCGAGUGGCGAACGGGUGAGUAAUGUAUCGGAACGUGCCCAGUCGUGGGGGAUAACGUAGCGAAAGCUACGCUAAUACCGCAUACGAUCUAUGGAUGAAAGCGGGGGACCGUAAGGCCUCGCGCGAUUGGAGCGGCCGAUAGCAGAUUAGGUAGUUGGUGGGGUAAAGGCCUACCAAGCCGACGAUCUGUAGCUGGUCUGAGAGGACGACCAGCCACACAGGGACUGAGACGCGGCCCAGACGCCUACGGGAGGCAGCAGUGGGGAAUGUUGGACAAUGGGCGCAAGCCUGAUCCAGCAAUGCCGCGUGCAGGAUGAAGGCCUUCGGGUUGUAAACUGCUUUUGUACGGAGCGAAAAGGCUCUCUCUAAUACAGGGGGCUCAUGACGGUACCGUAAGAAUAAGCACCGGCUAACUACGUGCCAGCCGCCGCCGUAACAC
rnacentral:rRNA from 1 species